AUGCAAUGGUAUUUUCUAGCUGCAUAAUGAAUGAAUUCAAUUAAAAAAAAGCUGACAUAUGUGACUUUUUAUAUGCAAAGUGAAGUGUGCAUGUGUUAUAUGUUUAAAUGGGUUUUAAUACGUCAAAGUGGAUGAAAUUCUAAGAUUUAAUUGCAUUUGAUAAAUUGAUAAGUGAUGAAUAAAAUGAAAUUUAACAAGGAAUGCAUGAGUUGAUCGGAUG
rnacentral:lncRNA from 1 species